CAUUGUGAGGUGGAAUCUGAAGGAAGCCCGACGCAAACCUCCGGUCUGACGAACAGAAAUCACAUCAGGCAGGGUCUGUGGAUAAGACUGCUAUACAAGUUGAAGUCCAAUACUACCCAAACAGACAAUGUAAAUGUGGCAGAUGGAUGGAGGAAAAGAAU
rnacentral:ncRNA from 1 species